GGGUCGGGGGUCUCACGAACCAAGAUGGCGGCUUCCCAAUGGCAGCCAUUUUGUAGGGGUGCAUUUGAAUGGGCCAAUCAGAAAAAGAGACUGCGUGUGACGGACGGGCGAGGGGGGCGGGGAGACUCGUAAGAGUGUGAAUCUUUCGUUCGUUUGUGCCGUCAGUCGUUCCUGAAACUGUGUGAGGUCGUACGAAAUGCUGUCGCGCGAUUUCGGAUUGCCGGCGUAUUCUAUUUUUGUAACCGAGGCAGUGUGGAAGGAUGGUUAAAAAAGGGUUAUCCAGUUUAAAAACAGCUGGUGGGUUUGGAACGAUGAGAGGAUGCCGUUUAUUUUCAGAUAUUUGACGUGCAGUGAAACUUCCGUAAGUUGACCACUUGCGAUGCAACGCCUUAUAGUGCUCAACUGAGAUAGGUGAUCAACUAAGAUGCACGAUCAGCUGAGAUAGAUCAACUUAAAGAGGUGAUAAACACUAAGAGAGAUGUUCUGACCGAUGUUAGCAAAUAGAAUCAUGAUCGCUGCUGGAAUCAGACUGUAAGAAGUCUGUGGAUUAUACUCGAAAAAAUAUGCAAGAAUAUAAUUACAUUGAGUUGAAAGCAAGAAUUAAAUCUUAGGUAUGAAUUCUUGUAACUGAAUUAAUAUGCAAGAAUAUAAUUACAUUGAGUUGAAAGCAAGAAUUAAAUCUUAGCUAAAUGAAGACGGAAGUUCGGACCCGGAGUUAUAAUGAUGCUGUUGUCGUUUUUUUGCUGAAAUUCUGCUGUAUUUUCUCGUUUCAUUAGAGAACUUUUCAUUCUUCAACUUUGUUGAAAAUGACCAGUGGGAUAAAUUCUACCAAUUUUGCUGCAAUGAAGACAGGAAAAAAGUGGUUACUUGUCGAGGCGAUGAAAAUACUAUGUUAUAUGAACAUAUUUUUUGUAAACACGCGUAUGUUUUGUUAAUUUCAAAAGUUUUAUAACACAAAUAAAACAAAAUGCAUUA